rnacentral:rRNA from 1 species
UACGAACUGUGCGAACGUUAUUCGGAAUCACUGGGCUUACAGGGUGCGUAGGCGGCUUUUCAAGUCAGGUGUGAAAGCCCCCGGCUCAACCGGGGAAUUGCGCUUGAAACUGGAGAGCUCGAGUCAGCUAGAGGUGCACGGAGCUUCCAGUGGAGCGGUGAAAUGUGUUGAUAUUGGAAGGAACACCGGAGGCGAAAGCGGUGCACUGGGGCUGGUCUGACGCUGAGGCACGAAAGCCAGGGGAGCGAACGGG